UAUUAACAUAUAUAUUAUUAAGAAUUGCACAUUUUUGUUAUUUGUAAAACUUGUAAAUAUUGCAAUUGUCUUUAAUAUAAUCCUCUUAUAACUUAGAAAUAUUACGGUUAAUAUAAUUUUAUUAAUAACAAAAUAAUCUUAUUUUAAUUUCCUCAACCCUAUUAUAUAAAAUAAGACCGCGGUUUUAAUUUCUUCUCUUAUAAAUAUAAAUAUAUUCACUCCAAGCUAGACCUAUUAUAAUUUAUAUUAAAAUAUAUAAUCUUUCGAAGAUAAAACCUGGAUAAUAACGCCGCAUCUGCAAAUAGUUUCUUAAUUUGUAAAAAUAAUUUUAUUAUAAGGGCUUGUAUUUAAACCUGGUAUUUUUACCAAUAAAUAUUAUUAAAAAUACCGCUAUUUUAAAAUAUCCAGAAAUAAAUAUGCGGUAAGAAUUUGCAAACCCCAAAAUCCUAUUUACGUUUUUAAAUAUAUUAUUAUUUUUUAUUUUUUAAUAAAUUUCAAGUUUUUGAAAUUUGGCCGGUGUUUAAUCCCUUAUUUAAUGACAAGUUUUCCAUAUUUAAUUCCUUUGGUAUUUAGAUUUAUUUUUCCAGAUUACAAAUAUAACUUAUAUUUAUUUAAUUUUCGUAAUAUUUCCUAUAUAUCCCCGAUAUAAUUAAUACAAAAUAUAUUAGUAAAAAAUAAAUAUAUUCUCUUUAAUAACUAUAUUAAUAAUAUUUAAUAAAUUUUUUACUAUAUAAUUUAAUAUUUUUGGAAAUUUAUAGGGGUUUUUAACAAAUUAAACCAAAUUAAAAUUUAUUAAAAUAUUUUAUAUUUGGUGUUGAAAAUUGUUUUUAUUUAUGGUUGAUUUCAACUUUAAUCUUGGAACAACGCGAAAGUCCGUCCAAUUUAAUAUAUUAUUUGAAAUUUGAAAAAUUCCGCAAACGAAAUGUUGGUAAAUAUAUAUAUACUAUUAUAUUGCAAAUUAAAUCUUUUAUAUUAGCCCGGAUAUUAAAUAUAUUCGUAUUUAUUUACCUUUGGAUUCUGUUAAUUUUUAUUUUCAUAUUUGUAACUCGAGGGUUUGCGUGCGAAUUCUAAUGGCCCGUAAAUACAAUAAAUAUCUAGGUAAAUUAAUUAUAAUUAUAAACCCUUUUCAAAAUAUAAUUCCCCCUAAUAAUUACACAGUAUUUAUAAUUUGUAUAUGUUAGUAUAUGGAGAUAAAACCUAAUAUUAAUAAUAAAAAAAAUAUAUAAAUUUAUUAAUUAUAUAUUUUAAAUUAUAUUAUUACCGCAUUACUGGUUCGAAAUUACUUUGUUGCCACAGAAUUAUUAUAUUCUCGGAUUUGUUUUGGGCUUUUCCAUUUUAUUAAAAGAAAUAAUAACGAUUAAACUAAUAUUAAAUCUUUUAAUAUUUCUAAUGCUUUUAUUAAAAGAUUUUAACUACAGUAUUGCAAAUAAACGACGACGCUUCUACAGUUUUUACAUGUUUUUUGAUCGAAAUAAGGAAAGUAUUUGGGCUUAAAUUAACGCCCUUUUUAUAUACGACAUUGGUUUUGCUUAUUAUUUUGAAAAUUUAUAUAUUAAUUACGAUAAUAUCCCUAUUUUAACUUGGACGGUAAAUGGCGCUUUUAACCACGCGUUUAACAGUUAUCUCCGCGCUACAACCGUCAAACCCCUCCUUAAUUAAAAUAAUAUAUAACUCGUAUUUAGUUUUGAAAUAAUCUCGACGCUUUUAUAUUUUCUGUUUAAAAAAGAAUAUUCUAUUUUACCCGGUGAACAAAUUUAAAAAAUAUUUAAUCAGGACUGGUAAUUUAAUAAUAAUAUUACUACCGUUAUACUAACUCCUAUUAAUAUAAGAACAACUUUUAUAAAAACGUUAAUUGUAAAUUAUAUUUUUAAAACGUUUCCCUAUUUUUGGUAAUAAUUUCCGUAAACCUUUAUAAAUAAUUACAAAAAAGACGCGUAUUUAUUUAACGCAAAAUUCGCAGUUUACUUUAUAUUUACGUUGUUUUAAAAUAUUAUUAGUAAUUAUUUAUAUAUAAUUAAAUGGGGUCUUCGGCCUGUAAUUCUUUUCGGGCUUGUCGCUUUGCAUAAACUUUAAAUCCGCACUGUUCUAUUGCGCAAAUAAUACAUUUAACAUUCUAAACCAAAAUAUUAAAAUACACCUAGUUAACCUUUCGGGUCACACCAUAUUAUAUUUAAAAAUAAUAUAAUACAAAUAAAAAUCGAAUUUAUUUAACUCCCCGUUUUAUAUAAAUUAUAUUGAAAAAAGGAAUACUUAUUUUUUUCGAGUUUAUAUUCGCGGGUGCGUUUUUUAUAAAUAUAACUAUAAUGCCUUUUGAAAAACCUCGUUUGUUUUUACGUAAAUUACGGAAUAAAUUAAUAAAUACCGUAUAAUUUAUUUGGAAAAAAUUGCCUAAUUUUGGCUAGCGAACUUUCCUUUUGGAGGCCGCGUUUUAAAUACGCCGGCCGUUAAUUGGCUUUUUGAUAAAAAAUUGGGAAAAGCGUUUUUAUUAUACCGCGGUAAGUUGGUUAAAUAUAUUCCGAAUUAUUAAUCUUAAUAUAACGCCUAAAUUUAUUAUUGCAAUUUGCGUACUACUAAUUACGUUUCCAGGUUUCUAUUAGUUAAACCUUUUAUGAAAAAUUCUACAUUCAUAAUAUAUUUUAAGUGCAAAAUUAAUAAAUUUUAAAUUUUAUAACAUUUAACUUAUUUAACAUGCGCCCUGCGUAUUGUUAGAGAAUACGUUCCUGCUAUUUAAUAUAAUGCGGAUAUUAUAUAUGCGGGGCCGGACUUUUAAAAAUUACAUUAGUAUAUUAUUAGGUUUAAUAUUCUAAAGUUAAGUCCUUAAUAAUAAAAGGUUUUAAAAUUAAUAACGAUGGAACUGCGAUCAAAUUUGGUAUUUUAAAUAUUAUUUACGCCGUGGAUUAAAAUAAUAGUUUUAUUAUAAUUACUAUAUCUUAAAGAUGACAGGCAAAUAGACGUUAUAAUAAGGGGUAUAAGCGCCGCUUUGGCCCGAUAUGUCCUAAAUUGCUAAUUAAAUCGACCAAAAACAUGGGUUUAACGUAAAAUAACCGCUGGGUAUAUAUGAUAAAAAAACAAAAUUAUUUAUAUAAAAUACUCUUAAUAUUAUAAAAAUAUUAAUAUUUGUAAAACAGUUAUUAUUAUUUUUAAUUAAGUAGAGGAGGUUAAUAAAAAUUCGGGUAAAGAAUACCGCGGGGGAAAAAUAUAAUUCGAAACCAAAAAAUUUAAAUAAAAUAGUUUUACAAUAUAAAAUAAGAAAAUUAUAAUUAUUAUAUUAUUAAUUUAUUAAUUAAUAACAGGUUUUCUUCCCAAGUUUCAAAUAAAUAAAACGUAUAAAUGUUAAUUAUCCGGAAGCGGAAUAAUUAUUUUAAAUUUAAAAUUGAAUAUUAACGCAAUAGCGUUUAAAUACGUAAUAAUUAGUGCGGGACGCCAUAACCCCCAUAUAAUUUGUUUAAUACCAAAAUACAAAUAAAAUCCAGAGGGAUUUGGUAAUAUAUAUAAACUUAUAUUAUAUUAUAAUUGGUAUAAAUUAUUAUAUUUGCAAAAUUUUGGUUUGUUAUUAUUAAUUUAUAUUUUAUUAUUUACAUAACAAAGUUAUAUUACGGGUGUAAAUAAUUUCAAAUAUAUAAUUAAAACCGAAACGGGUAAGAAUUUAAUUUUAUAUGGGAGACUUUAGCAAAAAGAAUUAAUGGAAUUAAUAAGAUUAUAUUAAAAAAAGAAACGCAAUGCAUAUUAAUUUAUAU
rnacentral:sRNA from 1 species